rnacentral:rRNA from 1 species
UACAGAGGGUGCGAGCGUUGUUCGGAAUUAUUGGGCGUAAAGCGCUUGUAGGCGGCUUGUUAAGUCGCGUGUGAAAUCUCCCGGCUCAACCGGGAAAGUGCGCGCGAAACUGGCGAGCUUGAGUGCUGGAGAGGGUGGCGGAAUUCCCGGUGUAGAGGUGAAAUUCGUAGAUAUCGGGAGGAACACCAGAGGCGAAGGCGGCCACCUGGACAGACACUGACGCGAGAAGCGA